rnacentral:rRNA from 1 species
AUUGAACGCUGGCGGCAUGCCUUACACAUGCAAGUCGAACGGCAGCACGGGAGCAAUCCUGGUGGCGAGUGGCGAACGGGUGAGUAAUAUAUCGGAACGUGCCCGGUCGUGGGGGAUAACGUAGCGAAAGCUACGCUAAUACCGCAUACGAUCUACGGAUGAAAGCGGGGGAUCGCAAGACCUCGCGCGAUUGGAGCGGCCGAUAUCAGAUUAGGUAGUUGGUGAGGUAAAGGCUCACCAAGCCGACGAUCUGUAGCUGGUCUGAGAGGACGACCAGCCACACUGGGACUGAGACACGGCCCAGACUCCUACGGGAGGCAGCAGUGGGGAAUUUUGGACAAUGGGCGCAAGCCUGAUCCAGCAAUGCCGCGUGAGUGAAGAAGGCCUCGG